GACGAACGCUGGCGGCGUGCCUAAUACAUGCAAGUUGAGCGAUGAAGCUUGGUGCUUGCUCCAAUUUGAAGAGCAGCGAACGGGUGAGUAACGCGUGGGGAAUCUGCCUUUGAGCGGGGGACAACAUUUGGAAACGAAUGCUAAUACCGCAUAACAACUUUAAACAUAAGUUUUAAGUUUGAAAGAUGCAGUUGCAUCACUCAAAGAUGAUCCCGCGUUGUAUUAGCUAGUUGGGGAGGUAAAGGCUCACCAAGGCGAUGAUACAUAGCCGACCUGAGAGGGUGGUCGGCCACAUGGGGACUGGGACACGGCCCAAACGCCUACGGGAGGCAGCAGUAGGGAAUCUUCGGCAACGGACGAAAGUCUGACCGAGCAACGCCGCGUGAGUGAAGAAGGUUUUCGGAUCGGAAAACUCGGUUGGUAGAGAAGAACGUUGGUGAGAGUGGAAAGCUCAUCAAGUGACGGUAACUACCCAGAAAGGGACGGCUAACUACGUG
rnacentral:rRNA from 1 species